rnacentral:rRNA from 1 species
UGGCGGCGUGCCUAAUACAUGCAAGUCGAGCGAACGGACGAGAAGCUUGCUUCUCUGAUGUUAGCGGCGGACGGGUGAGUAACACGUGGAUAACCUACCUAUAAGACUGGGAUAACUUCGGGAAACCGGAGCUAAUACCGGAUAAUAUUUUGAACCGCAUGGUUCAAAAGUGAAAGACGGUCUUGCUGUCACUUAUAGAUGGAUCCGCGCUGCAUUAGCUAGUUGGUAAGGUAACGGCUUACCAAGGCAACGAUGCAUAGCCGACCUGAGAGGGUGAUCGGCCACACUGGAACUGAGACACGGUCCAGACUCCUACGGGAGGCAGCAGUAGGGAAUCUUCCGCAAUGGGCGAAAGCCUGACGGAGCAACGCCGCGUGAGUGAUGAAGGUCUUCGGAUCGUAAAACUCUGUUAUUAGGGAAGAACAUAUGUGUAAGUAACUGUGCACAUCUUGACGGUACCUAAUCAGAAAGCCACGGCUAACUACGUGCCAGCAGCCGCGGUAAUACGUAGGUGGCAAGCGUUAUCCGGAAUUAUUGGGCGUAAAGCGCGCGUAGGCGGUUUUUUAAGUCUGAUGUGAAAGCCCACGGCUCAACCGUGGAGGGUCAUUGGAAACUGGAAAACUUGAGUGCAGAAGAGGAAAGUGGAAUUCCAUGUGUAGCGGUGAAAUGCGCAGAGAUAUGGAGGAACACCAGUGGCGAAGGCGACUUUCUGGUCUGUAACUGACGCUGAUGUGCGAAAGCGUGGGGAUCAAACAGGAUUAGAUACCCUGGUAGUCCACGCCGUAAACGAUGAGUGCUAAGUGUUAGGGGGUUUCCGCCCCUUAGUGCUGCAGCUAACGCAUUAAGCACUCCGCCUGGGGAGUACGACCGCAAGGUUGAAACUCAAAGGAAUUGACGGGGACCCGCACAAGCGGUGGAGCAUGUGGUUUAAUUCGAAGCAACGCGAAGAACCUUACCAAAUCUUGACAUCCUUUGACAACUCUAGAGAUAGAGCCUUCCCCUUCGGGGGACAAAGUGACAGGUGGUGCAUGGUGUCGUCAGCUCGUGUCGUGAGAUGUUGGGUUAAGUCCCGCAACCGAGCGCAAC